CUGACUUUGGCAGGACGGCUCUUCAAAGCGCUGGUCUCUGAUUAGCGUCCCUAAACGGAGCUGAAACGCGAUUGCUGGUUUUGGACAGUUGUGGUGUGCCGUUGCGCUCGCUCAGCAACGCAUCCAAAGCCGGUUUUAGCUGUCUAUAGGGUGCUGGGACAUAAACACCCCUUGGAAAGGCGUCUGGUUUAAAGCCAACAUAACGUGUGUCGUGAAGGGACAGGAAGAGCUCCCCGAGGGUGACAGGGGGCUGCGGUCUCCUGUACCCCAGGAGCGCAAACGUUCGCGUACAAACAUCACUAAAGACCUCAGCGGUGUUUGAAGGCAAAGGCUCCACCCGGGGCCUGUUGCAGACGGAAAUGGUGCUUGU
rnacentral:lncRNA from 1 species